CUGGUUGAUCCUGCCAGAGGUUACUGCUAUCGAGGUUCGACUAAGCCAUGCGAGUCGAAUGUAGCAAUACAUGGCGUACUGCUCAGUAACACGUGGACAACCUGCCCUUAGGUCGGGUAUAAACCCGGGAAACUGGGUAUAAUCCCCGAUAGGUCUCGGCUGCUGGAAUGCACCGAGAUUUAAAGCUCCGGCGCCUAAGGAUGGGUCUGCGGCCUAUCAGGUAGUAGUGGGUGUAGCGUACCUACUAGCCUACGACGGGUACGGGUUGUGAGAGCAAGAGCCCGGAGAUGGAUUCUGAGACACGAAUCCAGGCCCUACGGGGUGCAGCAGGCGCGAAAACUUUACAAUGCUGGCAACAGCGAUAAAGGAACCUCGAGUGCCAGGUUACAAAUCUGGCUGUCGAGAUGCCUAAAAAGCAUUUCAUAGCAAGGGCCGGGCAAGACCGGUGCCAGCCGCCGCGGUAACACCAGCGGCUCGAGUGGUAACCGUUAUUAUUGGGUCUAAAGGGUCUGUAGCCGGCCGGAUAAGUCUCUUGAGAAAUCUGGCAGCUUAACUGUCAGGCUUUCAGGAGAUACUGUCUGGCUCGAGGCCGGGAGAGGUGAGAGGUACUUCAGGGGUAGGGGUGAAAUCUUGUAAUCCUUGAAGGGCCACCAGUGGCGAAGGCGUCUCACCAGAACGGACCUGACGGCAAGGGACGAAAGCUGGGGGCACGAACCGGAUUAGAUACCCGGGUAGUCCUAGCCGUAAACGAUACUCGCUAGGUGUCGGCCACGGUGCGACCGUUGUCGGUGCCGUAGGGAAGCCGUGAAGCGAGCCACCUGGGAAGUACGGCCGCAAGGCUGAAACUUAAAGGAAUUGGCGGGGGAGCACCAC
rnacentral:rRNA from 1 species